CCCCAGGGCACUUCUGCGAGGAGGAUGAUCAAGGCAGACAUAGAGACUACUUGGUGGCUUGUGGAGAAGAGCUGUUACCGACUCUAUGACCUGAGUGUGUGCUGAUGGAAAAUCUCUGAUGUGGGCCGAGUCCAAGAGGAAGUAUGAAAGGCAAGGGAAUUCUGAGACACCCAGUUCAGUUUCAUCAAGCUAACUCAUCACAAUGCCCUCAGCAUCAGAUUGUUUUCCUUCAGGUCCAGUUCCUGGAGGCUGAGCAAGCUGAACACGGCAUGGGGAAUGCGCUCUAGGUCACAGUGGACCAGCUCCAGCUCUGUCAGGGCUCCUGCGGUGGUUUUGUCCACCACAAACUUCUCUGGAAUGGACUUGAGCGACUGAGCGUUGACCAGGCUGCCUUCUGGACCAGACUGGACGGUAUUGGACCGAUUCACGUUGUUCUUCCUACUGUCCUUUUCUUCUGAAUCCUCCCCAGACACCUCCGAGAGAGCCCGAG